GCGCGAUGGCAUACGCCGAUGGCCUCAAACGGUUUCGUGAGGUGAAGUUUGUUUAGGGGCAGUUGCUGGUUGUACAGCUGUUGGCAUAUUGGAGGCGCAUCCACCUACGUUGCGAUGGCUUACCUGGCUUCGCUCCUGGUGCUGCAGCCAUCGCUGCAAGCUUCGCCGUGUUCCACGCGAGCAUGGCGGUUUCCGCCCCGCAAUCGUGGUUACCAGCUUCCUGACUUCCAGCACGGAAAGAAAUCAAGCUCUGAUGCAAGCAUCGUCGCCCCAACUAUCUGCGCAUGGCCUUUUUCUACGAUGACGUCACUACCAGCACAGGACUUAAGCUUACCUGGCUUCGCUCCUGGUGCUGCAGCCAUCGCUGCAAGCUUCGCCGUGUUCCACGCGAGCAUGGCGGUUUCCGCCCCGCAAUCGUGGUUACCAGCUUCCUGACUUCCAGC